GCAGUGAUGACAUUCCACCAUUUGCUCGUGUUAGACUACUGAUGUGGGUGAUGCGAAUCGGAGCCUGAGC